rnacentral:rRNA from 1 species
UACGUAGGGUGCGAGCGUUAAUCGGAAUUACUGGGCGUAAAGCGUGCGCAGGCGGUUUUGUAAGCCAGAUGUGAAAUCCCCGGGCUUAACCUGGGAAUGGCAUUUGGGACUGCAAGGCUUGAGUUUGGCAGAGGAGACUGGAAUUCCUGGUGUAGCAGUGAAAUGCGUAGAUAUCAGGAGGAAUACCGAUGGCGAAAGCAGGUCUCUGGGCUAGAACUGACGCUCAUGCACGAAAGCGUGGGGAGCAAACAGG